UAUAUCACUACAGGAAGCAGCACUUCAAUUGCAAUUUACACUCCAACUUACCUACGUUAUUUUUUUUUUAAAGGGAGACAGUUUUAUACCUGACACAAGUAAUAAUUCUUAGUUUUAUCCCAGCAAAGAAAUACCUCACUGAAUUGAUAGCUGCUUUAUAUCACAAAAUUACACCUUGAUUUUUAUUUGGAAAGUGUAUCUGCUUUUAUAAUGAAAUAGUCCGAGCUGCCUGCCUCCGAUGUAGCUUGUCAACAAAUUCACCUGUUACGCAGGUGAUUUAAAGUCUGUAAGGACCGUAAUAAUGGUGAAAACAACAGUGUCUAGGACAGUUAGCCACAGCUCAGCUCUCCACGUACAUGACAGAGUAUGAAUUACAGUCACAGCUGCUGGCAAGACAGAAAAUAAGAGCAGUUAUUAAAAUGGAUGCUGCUGCUUCCCAUGUGGUCCGAGGAUGUGGCUGCUGCAGGAGGAGCGCGAACUUCCUUUGGGUGCACAUUCAGCAUCUGUCUAUCUUCUCCUUCUGAGGCCGUUGACCUGUGUUUCCUGAGGACAGCUCAGACGGGUAACUUCUCUGGCCUAUCCCUGCACUACUCCACCCUGAUGUUGACCCCCCAGCUGGCUCACAGUGUCACCUAACCCAGCAGCACCCGGGGGCGGGGAGUAUCCCAUCCCGAUAGCACUCCACAUCGCAGACGUAAACAUGGGUGACAAAUGGGCCACAAUAUCAGGUAUCAGGUGUCGGCACAGAAGAUUUAUAAGGUAACAAGACAAUGGGAGGCAGACACACAAAAAAAGCCUAUCUACCAUCAGUGCUGAGAUCUUCUUCACCGCAGCAAAACCUGCUUUGGUUUCAGCAGCCAUGGAGAAAAUGAUUUCCCUUUUAAUCCUCUCAGUUUUCUCAUCCAUGCGGCACAGAUUAGGUGCUCGCUCUCACAACUGAAUCAGAGAUCCGUGGCUCACCAAUAGAGCAUGUUUUGGUGCACUGAUUGAAGACAGAGGAGUCAUGCACAAGAGGACUUGUUGUGAAAUGAAGGAAGUCCCCACUCGUGGAAAGGGAAAUUAGAGGUCAUAUAGAGCUCAGCCGGAACCUGUUGGAGCAGACAGUUGUCUGCAGCAGCUCGUCGACAUACAGUAGUUUUGACAGGAAAACUUACAUCUCUUUGCAUUAAACAGACUCUGAGAUGAAUUCCUUGAAGGUCUCAGAUCAUCUUUUUUUGUUGGUGUGUUUGGGAGGUGAAGAAACUAACGGUCAAGAAAUGAAAACCAGUUACUUUACCAUAUAGUUUGGAAACUAUGAACUGCUUUGAUAUGCAGACAGUGUAUACAGAGCAGGAGGAAAAUAAAGCUGUUAUCUACUUAAAUCUGGAUAAUGCCUUUCACACUGUGGCUCUGCUUUUCAGGCCUCACUGACACUAUGUCUUGAAUUUGUGCUUUAUUAUUAAUUAUAUGAGAUAUGCUAAUGUUAGUACAGGCAUUUAACUCUCACAGUCAAAUAACAGCUGAUUUUUUUUAGUGACCAAAGACAGAAAUCUUACUGACACAUGGAUUCUGUCAUCCAUCUCUGAGGCACAGAGGUGAUGACAGGCAACAGAGAAGACGAGUGUGGUGUUGGGGAGGAAAGGGACGCUGGCGCCGCGUGCCUUGAAAUCCACACGGAUGUUCAAAACUGGUGUUUCUGACAUGUGAAAACCCUGCAUGCAGUGCCCAGGGCGAACACCCUCCUCCCAUCUUAGCUCACAAUCGAGCACCUUCUCCUCCUACGCAGCACGCCCACGGACGUCCUGAGAGGACCUGAAACUGGAGACGCAGUCAGCAGGAGUGAACCUCCAUGCCGUCAUCCCCACUCCCUGUCCUUUGUCUGCUCACAAUGUGGAGUGGUACAGAGAGCUCUGACACCGAACAGAUUCCUGCCCGUAGCUCCUCGGGGAAUAUCUCUGGUUUUUGUAGUGUUUAUACGUGUGUGUUUCACUGGCGUAGUUGGUGCCUCAUAGUGUUUGUUUUUACCUGCAUCUUUUUGUUUAACACACAUUGAUAAUGACACACUUGAAUUUUAUAUGAGGUGAAGACAUAAAUGAUUAGUUCACCCACUUAGUUGUCUUAGUUUUAGUUGCAUCUCUUUCAUUAGUAGAGGUUAAUUAAUACUACGUCAGUUAGUGUUGAGUGUUGAAAAAGUUGGUCAACAUCGCAUUGUUUGGGGUGAAGAAUCAAUAGAGAACUCAUCUUUCAGCUUAUUGUUUUGGAUCACAGAUUUAAGCAUCAAAUGGAAGACAACAAAACUCGCUGGUGAACAUAGUGAAUCCUUUAGCAGCUAAAGAGCCCCAUAUUUUCCGUAAGAAUAAGUGAAAAGGCAAAAUAGAACUAAAGGAAAAGUGGGUACUGGACUUGGAAACAAAGUUCCAAAAUGGUGUUGCUUCUGUCCACUAGAUGUUUGCUAGGCAACUGUUUGUGAACAUGUUUGCUUAGUCAUCUUUACAAGGUGAUAAUAGGUCAGUGUUGGGGCUACACUUUGUUUUUGCUGCUUCUGUGUGGGCAAAAAACACCCAAAUACAAUUACUGCAGGUUUAAAACGCAUAAAAACGUGAGAACUGAUUAACAAUUCCACUUGUUUUUGGAAUAUACUUAAUAUACCUAAAUUAGGGCUGCCACUAGCAGCUAUUUUUCUAUUAGUUCGUAGAGUGAUUAAUUUUUCAUCCAAAAAAAAUUACCUUGUCAUUUAAACUUCUUCUAUCCUGACAAAGUAUAUCUGCAACUCCAACAUCAUAAUAAUAGAUAUAAAACAGAGCUGAUUAUUUGUCAGUAGUGUGCCACCAAAAAAAGCUUCUUUAAACCCUUUUAAUAAAGGGAAAAAGUUCUGCCUGUAUAUUAAACAAAGUGCAACAUGGACCAAUGGAUAUUUUACAUGCAUGAAGCAACUCCACUUGUCCUUAUUGUGAACCUUUUGUCUGACCAGCUGUAGUUUCUAAUCCUAUGAAAGUAUAGCUGAAUUCACAGGACAACUGUUGUCUUUGACUUUGUUGUGUGUUUUGUAUCAGGAUUUUAUCAAUGCAGCUGUUUGGAAAUGGCCUCUGGUUAACAGGAAGUCUUAAGUGACUGUGUUGUGUGACUAUUUCAUACUUGUUCACUUGUCUGACAACAAAAACAGAAAAAUAUGUAAUUGAGGACAGCUUCAUUUGGAAUUUGACUGGCGUAAAACGCAGCAUAUGUGAGCACAGAGAGUAGGAGAGAAUGCACCGAUGCAGCAAUUAUGAUGUGAUCUGAAAGAAUAACAUUCUAUACACUAAAUGUAAGCACUUCAGAAGCAUUUUAAAAAUAGAUAUGCAACGGCUUAAAAUAUAAUAUAAAUAUAACAUGCCAACACAUUUUCUGCAUCAG